rnacentral:rRNA from 1 species
GAUGAACGCUGGCGGCGUGCCUAAUACAUGCAAGUCGAGCGAACAGACGAGGAGCUUGCUCCUCUGAUGUUAGCGGCGGACGGGUGAGUAACACGUGGAUAACCUACCUAUAAGACUGGGAUAACUUCGGGAAACCGGAGCUAAUACCGGAUAACAUGUUGAACCGCAUGGUUCAACAGUGAAAGACGGUCUUGCUGUCACUUAUAGAUGGAUCCGCGCCGCAUUAGCUAGUUGGUAAGGUAACGGCUUACCAAGGCAACGAUGCGUAGCCGACCUGAGAGGGUGAUCGGCCACACUGCAACUGAGACACGGUCCAGACUCCUACGGGAGGCAGCAGUAGGGAAUCUUCCGCAAUGGGCGAAAGCCUGACGGAGCAACGCCGCGUGAGUGAAGAAGGUCUUCGGAUCGUAAAACUCUGUUAUUAGGGAAGAACAAAUGUGUAAGUAACUAUGCACGUCUUGACGGUACCUAAUCAGAAAGCCACGGCUAACUACGUG